CUUGGUGAAACUUCCCCUUGUGAAUCUAGGAUUUUCUGAUAUGGGGUGGGAUACCCACCACCAUCUGGUGCCCCAGUACCUCGGGAACUCUGUUGAUGUGGGGCUUACUCCUUAUAUCUGCAGUUAACUUCAGAGAGGACCCUGGCAGUUUCUGACCAACGCUUUCAGGAGCUCUGUGUUUGCCUGUGUGUCAAAGGUAUUUUGUAAAGAUGUCGGCUGUUAGGUGGUCUUUUGUCACUCACAGAAGACACAAUGUGAAGGAAGACUCCUUUCCUGGGAGCAUGAGGGUUUCAGCUGCUGUUGCCACUGACCCUCAUCAUGCAACUGACUCCUGAGAGUCCACAAUGUGGGAUCUAAAAACUGGAAGUAGCAUUCCUGCCAUGCACAGAGCCCUGAACAUCUCAUACAGAAGGUUCCAGAAAACAAGUUCUCAAGCAGACUAUCUGAUGCAAUUGUCUUCUGCUAUCAGUACGGUGAAGGACAAAACUCAAAACAAAGUUCCAAACCCUUGAAAGGAGGUGGCGAGUUUCUUAACAACCUGGUCUGUGUUUGAGAUCAAAGGUCACCGUGGUCUAGGACCUGAGCAGAAAGUAAGGUUAAAAAGAUGCAGUUAAUGACUUACCACCUGAAAAAUGAUUUGUGCUCCAGUUAGAGUGAGACACCAUCCAUGUUACUUUUCUAUCUGCAAGUGGGCAUUAUGAGAAAUGCCGACUCCAGAGAUUGCUUUGUGUGCAUUUGACAAGUGAUGAAAACUGUUUUCAUAGAUCAAGAAUCACUUAAAUGUUGUUUUUACAAUUAUUUUCUGCUUGUCUUGCUCUAGUCUUCCUUCUUAUUCCUCUGACUCAGUCCUUGGUAGUCUCCAUGCUGGUGACAGCCAUUCUUGUUUUCUGAUGUUACCUGUGAUUGCACAACUUAACGUGCUAGUGCCAUGAAGGAUUAAAAAAAAGCCACAACUCCCCAUAGACUCAAUCAUUAGCAAUUCCCUUAUCUUCUUCUGCAUUCCCUUUCUUCUGAUGUUCCCAUCUUCCAAAUCUGCUGAGGCAUCCAAUGUCGUAACUGCAAUCAUCAGUUUCAUGUGUCAGAGUUUGCAGAUUUUUUUUUUCAAGUGACCAUUCACAGGCUCACAAGUUCUUCUCUGUACUAUAUUCUUAUACUUUCCAUGUUUGUUAGCUUACACAGAGAGAAUACAAUACACUGGAGAUACAUGGAUUAAUGCUGAACUGGCUGAGGGAAAGUCACCUGAAUAUCCAUCAUUAUUCUGCAUUUAAAAUCUUAGGUGAAAGAAAGCUGAAAGAGUUCCUUUCUGUCCUGGUGACAACAGCCCCUUCAUGUGCUUUCCUGAGACAAAAUGUAAAGAUUCUUUCUAGGACCAAAAUUACUGUGGUUUCUUGUGGUGCAAAGACAGCCACUGUGUUAAUCCCACCCAUCAUGGUUUUGCUCUUCAGAUAUUUCUCUGAAGGAGAAAGUCGUCACUUUAUAAACCCAACUCACUCAUCUUCUUUUACUCUUUGUAUGCAUAUACAUACAUAGAUGUCUCUAUAUUCUAUAUGCACAAGCAUAUGUGCAUAUUUGCCCUCUCCAAGGGCUGUUGUCAACAGCAGUAGCAGAAGUUCCCCCACUCUUUCAGCUUGAACUUCUCAUGGGUCAGUAAGUCUUGGUCGUAUUUGUUCCUUGUGCUGAUGGAAAAGCCACAAGCUUUCCUGGCUAACAAGCCUGUUUGUAUCACACUGAUAUUUGAAUGAAGGCUAAAUAAAA
rnacentral:lncRNA from 1 species